rnacentral:rRNA from 1 species
GAUGAACGCUGGCGGCGUGCUUAACACAUGCAAGUCGAACGAUGAACCGGGUGCUUGCACUCGGGGAUUAGUGGCGAACGGGUGAGUAACACGUGAGCAACCUGCUCCUGACUCUGGGAUAAGCGCUGGAAACGGCGUCUAAUACUGGAUAUGUCCCGUCACCGCACGUCGUGCGGGUGGAAAGAUGUUUCGGUUGGGGAUGGGCGCGCGGCCUAUCAGCUUGUUGGUGAGGUAAUGGCUCACCAAGGCGUCGACGGGUAGCCGGCCUGAGAGGGGGGACGGAGACACUGGGACUGAGAGACGGCGCAGGGUGCUACGGGAGGCAGCAGUGGCGACUAUGGCGCAAUGGGCAGGAGCCUGAUGAAGCAGCGCCGGGUGAGGGAUGACGGUCUGCGGGUUGUGAACCUGUUUUAGAAGGGAAGAAGCGAGAGUGACGGUACCUGCAGACAAAGCACCGGCUAACUACGUGCCAGCCGCCGCGGUAA